rnacentral:pre_miRNA from 2 species
UAUUAGAUUGGUGCAAAAGUAAUUGCAGUUUUUGCCAUUAAAAGUAAUUGCAAAAACUGCAAUUGCUUUUGCACCAACCUAAUA